CCACGGCCAUACCACCCUGAACGGGCCCGAUCUCGUCUGAUCUUAGAAGCUAAGCAGGGUCGGGCCUGAUUAACGCUCGGAUGGGCAGAUGGAUGGA
rnacentral:rRNA from 1 species